UGACAGGGUCACUAAGAAUGCAGAUCUGUU
rnacentral:piRNA from 1 species